rnacentral:rRNA from 1 species
UACGUAGGGUGCGAGCGUUGUCCGGAAUUAUUGGGCGUAAAGAGCUUGUAGGCGGUUUGUCGCGUCUGCUGUGAAAAUCCGGGGCUCAACCCCGGACUUGCAGUGGGUACGGGCAGACUAGAGUGUGGUAGGGGAGACUGGAAUUCCUGGUGUAGCGCUGAAAUGCGCAGAUAUCAGGAGGAACACCGGUGGCGAAGGCGGGUCUCUGGGCCGAUACUGACGCUGAGGAGCGAAAGCGUGGGGAGCGAACAGG